rnacentral:rRNA from 1 species
GUCUUUGGCCAUACCACCCUGAACAUGCCCGAUCUCGUCUGAUCGCAGAAGCUAAGCAGGGUCAGGCCAGGUUAGUAGUUGGAUAAGAGAAUAGGAAAUGUUUUCAAUAUGCUGACUAAAUCU